UUUGUGUUGUGUGUCGACAAGAAGCAGAAAACAAGCAUGGGAAGAGACAAAACUGAACUUUUGAAGAUGAAAUCUAUAAAACAAAAGAUCAACCAUUGAUCUUUAGUAAAGGAUUUAACAUGGAAGUCAAUGCUUCGGUAAGAGAAGUCAAGACCCAAUCUCUCCUACGGACAAAUGUAAGUUAACCUUACUUUAUUAUUAUCUACGGUACCUACUCGAUGUGGAUGAAUCAUAAGUUCAUAACCUAUUCAUACAAGCAUAUAACUACCUAAUAGCAUGUGCUAUUAAGUAGCUAUACAUCUGGACUAAGGACACUAUAAUUGUUAUUGAUAUGGUUAAAUAUAUGUUUUUUUAGUAUCCAUAUUGUUGCUACUGCUGCUAUUAUAGUGUGUGCAGAAGUAUUUAAUUUGUUGCUAUUGACCAGCAUUUAAAACUAUAUAUCUGGUCGUUUGGCUGCCACUUGUACAUUGUACAAAAUUGUAUAUUAUCGUCGCUGAUUGGUUUGAAUUUCAGUCGGUAGGUGUGUCGCUUUGGUCGCCAUUUCUCUCUUACAUGAAGAUAGCACAUAGUUUUCUUAAAAAAAAUGGUGGUUCAUCCAGGUAAGGUGACUGUUAUAUUAAUAUGGAACCCAAGUUGAAGAUUGACUUUAUAAUCAAAAAACGGUUCUUAAUCUUUGGGUUACGUCAUCAUUUGUUGGUUCGGGAAGAUAUGAAAGGUUAAUAUAUAAAGAUGAUUGCAGGUUUUAUUUUAUAAUAAAGUUCUUAUACAGGUUAUAAUAAAAAAAAUCAAACUGGGAAAAUAAUCAAGCAUGUGUUGAA
rnacentral:lncRNA from 1 species